rnacentral:lncRNA from 1 species
GGGCUUUAAGACCCUCAUCCUAGCUGCUUAGAAACCAGAUGUAGACCUCUCAGCCUCUCCUGCACCACGCCUGCCUGGACACUGCCAUGUUCCUGCCUUGAUGAUAAUGGCCUGAACCUAUGAACCUAUACCAGCCCUAAUUAAAUGCAGUCCUUAUAAACCCUGAUUUGGUCAUGGUGUCUGAUCACAGCAGUAAAUCCUGCUAAGACAACGCCCCUUUCUGAGUGUGCACAGGGAGUCAGCUGCACUGAGUAAAAGCUAGUUACUUCGUGCGAAUGCAGUUUCUCACUUCUAUAUUCAAGUACAGGAGCGAUAUCCAGUGCUCAGACUCAUGUACUAGAGUUAGCCAGCAAUCCAGCUCUGGUUUAUUUUGAGGACUGGAGAGAUGGUCCAGAGGUUAAGAGCACUUGCUGCUCUAGCUAAGGACCAAUUACCUGCACCUGGAUAGCAACUCACAAACAUCUAUAACUCCAGUUUCCAGGCAUUGGGUGUCCUCUUCUGGACUCUGGGGGCACUAGGCAUGCAUGAGGUGUGCCUACACACAUGCAGGGGAAACACUCAUACACAUAAAAUAAAAUAAAUUUUUUUAAAGAUUGUUAUUGGGUCUCCUGGAGAUUGUGGAGAAUGGAUGGACAGGAAGGGUAACUAAGACAGUGCCUCCUACUCUUGUUGCUAUACCGAACAUUGAUUUGUUUGCUUGGCUGGUUUGUUUUGAGACAGGGUCUCUCUACGUAGCCCUAGAAGGCCUUGAACUCACAGACAUCUGUUUGCCCUGCCUCCUAGGUGAUCUAAGGAAAGCACCACCACUCCCUGCCUGAAUAGUGACUGUUUGAAGAAACAAUUGAUACAAGCUAUGAACCUUUUCACACUGUAUUGGAUCUUGCUAAUGCUUCUUGUAACAGCCUCUUAACAGAUGUCUCCAGAGACCAAUUACCACCUGCAGUGGUCUUUACCUGUCCACUCUUUGUAAAAAGGUGUCAUUACAAAAUGUUGCAGUGGAAAAAAAAAAUGUUGCAGUGGCUGCCCUAUACUGAGUCCUACAGGGUUAGAAAGGCACCUGAGAGAUUUGCAAGAACCCCUAAGGAACAGGGUGGGGCAUCAGACAGGCUACUGUGGCAAGGCAUAGUUACAAGGUUUCAUGGAUAGGUAAGACACAGAUGAUACCACAAAAAAGAAUGAGAAAAAUCCUCCAACAGCUGCCUGCCUGUAAACAUUUAGAACAACAGUUAAGAAGUUUGAAGGGAAGCACUCUGGGUAAGGUUAAAAAAGACAUCCCCAGAGGGCAAGGUUCCUGUGCCAGAGAUGAACUACUUCCUAACUGUGGUUGAUUGCAGAGGCCCCCUGGGGUUUCUAGCCACCAAGACUACCAGACUACAAGACUACCAGGUUCUACAGCUGAACACAGCCACGUAUAUCGAUUGUAGACCUGAGAACUCCAGCUGGUAUGGAACUGGAAGCUUCCUCCUUGCUGCCUGGCUUUUGCUUUGCUAGAAGGCAUUUUUGUAGGCUACCGGUGGAGUUUUGUUUUGGUUUGUUUUGUUUGUUUGUUUGUUUUACAGCAGUCCCCCAGGGCUGCAGAUCCUGCAAGCUGUAUUAUCAACAUGAAACCUUGUGUUUACUGAUACAAUAGUGGCUUGACUGCUAGGUGUAUAACCAACUGCUUCUUGGUUGGAUUCGAGCCUGUUCCACAUCUGGUGCUGUCAACCCUGUAAGUAUUCUUUGCUCUGGGAGACCUUGAAUGUAAUGAGAAAACCACCGCUGUUGUUUUAGUAAACAGAUAUGCUGUACUUAUGAAGCUGUUGGGACCAUAGGUUGCUGCUACUGUCAGCCACAUUGAGGGAAACUUGUAUUUGCAGUAUCAGUUGCUGUGAAAACCCAGCCACCCCAGAUCACUCUGUCUUGUUCACUCUCUCUGUCUCCCAAUCUCUAUCUGGCUCUAUCUCUUAUGCCACAACUGGAAGACAGCCUUCUGCUCUCCUCCCACCCCCAAUAAAUCUCUUGUGUUAGCUCUCCUAUAGGGUAGCACACCUUACCCCCAACCUGCAAAGGGUACAUUUUGCCCUGCUUUACCCUAACGAGACUAACAAAGACUUGGUAGGGUUCUCUAGAGUCACAGAACUUAUGGAAUGUCUCUCUAUAUUGAGGAAAUUUAUUGUGAUGACUUACUGUCUGUAGUACAACUAACCCAACAAUGGUCAGCUGUGAAUGCUAAGUCCAGGAAUCUAGCAGUUGCUCAGUCCCACGAGGCUAGUUGUUUCAGCUGGUCUUCAGUAGAAGUAGGUUCCAAUGGAUAUGCUGGCAAGUAAGUGUAAGCAGGUGAAGUGUAAGACUCUGGAGAGCCUUAGCUUACCAGGGACCCCCUGAGUGAACCACAUGGAGCUGGAAUUGAUGCAAAAAGCAAGAGUAAUUUAUUGUUCCAGUGCACUGGGGUCGUCCCAGACCCAAAGGAGAGGUGGCAACUACCUGAAGCCGGUUUGGUGAGUUCUUAUAUGGUUUCCAGGGGCAGAAUAGAGCAUCAGCAACUAGGCACAAUAUUAUUGGCGGAACAGUGUGCCCUUUAAACUGAUUGGUCUUUAGGGAAUGAGGUAGUAGGGGCUUACUCAGCCUCUCCCUUCUGGCCUAAGUGCUCUCUGACCUGUCUCUUCCAGGAAAGGCAGUUGGGGGAGGGGAGGAGAGUCUGGCUGAAUUUUCUAAUGACUGAGCUGAUCUCUUCAGAAGAGUGAGUCUUCCUUCUUCCAAUGUCCUUUAAGUAGGUCUCCAGCAGAAGGUGUGGCCCAGAUUAAAGGUGUGUACCACCAUGCUUGAAUCUGGGACUUGCUUUGUCCCGGACUGACCUUGAACUCAGAUAUCUGCUUGCCUCGGUUUCCUGGGAUUAAAAUCGUGUACUAACUUACGUGGGCCUAUGCUUUUCAUAGCCAGUAUGCCUCAAGAUCUCCAUGCCAAGAUCCAGGUCAGAAACUUGUGUCUUCCAGCCUCAAGAUCUGGAUCACAGGUGUGCCCUCCAAUUCUGGAUUGUAGUUGAUCCCAGAUAUAGUCAAGUUGGCAACCAGGAACGGCCGUUACAGUAAGCUUUCCUGGGGCUUGUGUGCUGCCCACCUGUGAUCUGAGCCACACUAGGAACCUCUUAUCUCCAGUCCUCACUUCCACCCAUCACUGGGUACCCCAUCCUUCAGUGGCAAUUGGUAAGUUCUUCCUCUCAGUCAGAGUAAAUGCUUCCCUGAGUCUCUGGCAAAGGUCAUCUGACCAUUUCCCUUGGGUGAGUUUUCAAGCACAGUUUUCACCUUCUGGAUUCAUUUGAAAGUCCUGAUACCAAGUGUCUUAGGGUUUUACUGCUGUGAACAGACGCCAUGACCAAGGCAGCUCUUAUAAGGAUAACAUUUAGUUGGGUCUGGCUUACAGGUUCAGAGGUUCAGUCCAUUAUCAUCAAGGCAGGAGAAUGGCAGCAUCCAGGCAGUCAUGGUACGGGAGGAGAGUUCUACAUCUUGUUCCCAAGGCAAAUAGGAGAAGACUAGUUUCCAGGCAGCUAGGAUGUGGGUCUUAAAGCCCACACCCACAGUGACACAACUACUCCAACAAGCCAUACCUCCAAAUAGUGCCACUCCCUGGGCCAAGAGGAUUCAAACUGUGACACCAGGCAUUCCACCAAGGUACCUUUCACUGCCUUAUCCUAACAAUCACCUCCCAAAAUGCCACCAGCAAGCAUUCAGCUCCUGAGCCUGUGAGGAAUGCUUUUAUCUCAAAUCCUGACUCUGGGAGUUGAGUGAUUUAUCUGGCCCACAAAACCAUCAGCCCAAUGGUUUAGGCUUCUUCCUUCUUCCUUCUUCCUUCUUCCUUCUUCCUUCUUCCUUCUUCCUUCUCCUUCUCCUUCUCCUUCCCCUUCCCCUUCUCCUUCUCCUUCUUCUUCUCCUUCUUCUCCUUCUCCUCCUCCUCCUCUCCUUUCCUCCUUCUCCUCUUCUUCCUCCUCCUCUUCCUCCCCCUCCUCUUCCUCCUCUUCCUCCUCUUUCACUUUUUUUUUUUAAUGAAAAAGUAAAAGCUGCAAAUCUCCCAGAUGUCUGCUCAAUAGAGUUCUGUUCUAGCUCCUUCAAGGCUUAUCUGCAAGCACACAGCAACUCUGACCUUGCAAGCAACUUGAAGAGUCUGAGGUAGAGAUGAGAGAGCAUCCUAUGCAGGCAGGAGCAGUGUGGGCUACAGUGAGUGAUACAGCAAUGGAGAUAAAAAACAUCUGGUCAGCCCCAUGAUCCCUGUGUUUGUGUGGGUGUCAUUCUGCCCCCUCGCAAUCCUUCCACAGAUUGCAAGCAUGGUCCAGGCAUGUCCAAGCAUGCCCAGAUUGCAAAGGAGCAAGGGCCUCUUCGUGGUCCAAAGCCUUCUCAAUGAAGGACGGCAUCCCUGUGGCUCCACGCUCGGCACACACCUGAGGGGGAAGUGUGGUCCCUUGAGAAGGUAUUCCUGGUUUCAGGUUUGUGGGGCCUGAGGGCCGGACAUCACUGCAAUGCUGAGUACUGUUGAUUAAUAGGACGUAUCCCUUUGUUGUCUGUUCCAUAGCCCGCUGUCUCACAGAGGUGCUUAAGCUAGUUCUCAUAAACACAGGGAGCAGGCCUGGGCUACACAGCAGGACGCUCUUUGUUUUAAAACCCAGAGUGUUGAGGCAGUCAUGACCCACAGGGACAUUUUCUGGCAGUUAGCAAGUGGCCAGAGGAGUUUAAAAUCCUGGGGUGAAAUCAAAGGCCCUUAAGAAAAAAACACAUAAAUGAAAAUGGCCACUUGGUCAUUAGUCACCAGGAGUUGUCUGACCCGGGGGUGGGACAGUAUUAUUGCUAUUAUGAACUAUACAAAUGUAGAGAAGAAAGUAAUUACCUCCUUCAGAUCCUGAAAAGUUAAUGUUGAACCGCUUGUUACCAUGGACACAACAGCUGUUUGCAGCACUGGUCUUUCCGUGGUCGGUGAGGAUGCUCUGUAAAACCAGCAAACCCACCACGGUUCCCUGUCUCAAGGCACACUUCCUGGGCAAAGGAAGCACGUGGCCUCACCAACAGACACAGAAGUGGGAAAGAGAGAAGGUGAGUGUGUGCAGGAACCAACUUGCAAGAACUAAAGUGACUGAGCUGUAGCUCUGUGGGACCCCAACUAACAGGGGAGGUGGGAAGAAGGAGGAGACGGAGAGGAGAAGAGGGGGAGGGAGGGGGAAGAAGGGGGGAAAACUGGGAAGAAGGGGGAGGGGAGGGAAGGAGAAGAGGGAGGGAGAGAAGGAAAGGAGGAGGAGGAAGGGGAAGGGGAAGGAAACAGCAGCUACAACAACUGUAGCAGCUAGAGAGCUGUCCUAUAAGGAGAUCCCAAGCUAAUUUGAUCCUAUAGACUUAAAAACACUUCUUCACUAUCUUUUCGGGAGAUCCCGCUUGUGGGCUGGGAGAUGCUUGGAGAUGUCCUUGUUCCUGAAAACAGAAGAAAUAAAGGAAAACCUGUUUUAAAGUGGAUGUCUCUCUCACCACCCUUCACUCUUCCUCAGUCCGUGUGAUUUACUCCUGGGGGAGCCGCCACCUGCCCACCAGCCAUCUAUCCACACG